ensembl:lncRNA
GAAAAUUAGACUCUCGCUGAAAAUAAUUCACUCAUCCAAAGUAAGGUCGGCUUUAUAACAAUGAGCUUUGGCGUUCCAAAGCAAAUUUUGCUUUUUUUUUUUUUUUUUUUUUUGGUAAGGGAGGGCUUGUUUUCUCACAAAAUUCUGUGAUGGUAAGAGAGUGUACAAGUGUCCUUUAAAAAUAACAUUUGAAAAUCCCUGUUCAGUCUUUGGAAGAGCAAGGAACAAAUUAUUAUUAAUGGAUUAUACUCUGCAUUCCUUUAUCUUUCCUAGGUCCAUCCAGAAGUCAAUGUCAGAAAGUGAAGCAUUUGAAAUAAAUGAAGAUAUUAUCAUUGGUGAAAGGUUCCAUUUACUACAGGAAACAAGAAUAGAAGAAACAACAUGUCAGGUAAUGACUUAUGAACAAUGGAUUCCACCGCAGAAUCAUACUCUAGGGACAGCCGGUGAUAUGGUAAGAUAUUACAUCUUAAGUUCUUUUUAUUUUUUCUCUACACAUUUUUGUAUGGUAGCCUUCCCCUAUCUGGUGCCCUUCCAAUGUGUUGGGAAGGUUGAUAUUAAAUUGCACCUUUGUGGAGCAUCAUAUUGUGGAACCACACAUAUUGUGUGGUUUAUGAGAGCCAAUGCACUGAAUUCUACCUAUACUGAGUUGAACACACAGGAUCUGAAGUUCAUUCAUCCAUCCUGUGAAAUCCUUCACCCACAAUCCUAUGCACAUUGAACAAGUCCCAUACAGUGGGCCAUAUGCCAGAGUAGAUAUGCAUAAGAUUGUAUUGUGGGGGGGAAGGCAGCAACAACAUUCGGACCCUGCCUAUCUUCGCAAUUGCAUCCCCACCCCCACCCCCUCAUGUACCUGCAUGAGCGUUAAGAUCUGCCGGAGAGGCCAUUCUUGCAGCCCCAUCACUGUCACAAGCACGGUUGGUGGGGAUGAGGUAAAGGGCCUUCUUGGUGGUGGCCCCAUGGCUUUGGAACACCCUCCCCAGGGAGAUUAGGCAGGCCACCACCCUAUCCUCCUGCCAGAGGGAAUUGAAGACUUGGAUGAUUAGACAAACCUUUGAGAAUAUCUAACCCAAUGGUUUGCAAUUAUGAUACAGCUCAGCACUUUUAUUCCAUUCCCCUGUUCCUUAGUUACAACUUGCGCUAUCCCUUUCCUUUCUUUUUGUUUACAGUUGGCCAUGUUUUUACUACAGAAGACACUAUAGGUUAUUGGGUGCUGUCCUGAGUUCAAAUUAUUGUUUUAUAUAUUCGUGGUUUUAUUUUGUAUUGUACUGUCUGUUUAUCUUAUGCAUUGUUUUAGGCACCUUGUGCCAUAUGUCAGCCACCCUGAAUCCCUUAGGGAGAUGGAGGCAACAAUAAAGUUGUUGUUGUUGUUGUUGUUGUUAAUAUUAGUAUUUUAUUUGUUCACCAUUUCAUAAUUUGAUCUGUCUUCUUCCUUAGGACAUUGUGAAGCUCUAUUUUUUCUGUUUUUCACAAGAUUGUUCAUUUGGUCAAGCUUCAUGGAAACUUGGCAGUAUUUUCAUAGGAAAGCUAGCAGAGUUUUCCUUGUAAUUUAUUUAUGCAAAAUAUAAUCGCUGCAUUUAUUAUUUUGCAUGCCUCACUUUAGCUAAACAAAAUAUUUACCUCCUCUGCACAUGAAUUGCUUUUAAAACAAAGAGGAUUACCCAUCACCCAUUAGUAAAAUUGGUUGAGUAGAUUAUAUGUUGUUCUACUUUCAGAUGCCCUCUCAAUUAAAAUACAAGUUCAGACCUCUAUGACCAAAAUUCAUGGGUCUGGUAUUCUCUGUUAAUAAUUGCAGCUAUGCAGUUUGACUGUUAAACAUUACUUAAUUGGAUCCCUGGCAUUUUACAAUCACUUGAUGCGUAUUUUGCAAAACUGAUUUCACAGGCAUCUCAUCCAGGGAGAAUCGUUGUCCAUAUGACUAAAGUCAUCCAAAUAAAAGUCCCCUAUCUUCAUUUGGGAUCAAGGAUUAACAAUUAACAAUUUGAAUAUAAUCAAAGUGACUUUGUGCAUAUGUUCUACAACACUAUAUGUAUUAUUUUGGCAGGGUUGUUUCUAGCUAUAACAUGUUGAUAUUCACAUCUGCAUGUCUCAAUUUACAUUAUCCCCAAUUUACAAAUUUCAAACUUAUUUUAUUUAUUUAUUUAUUUACAUCACUUUUACCCUGCCUUUCUCUCCUAGGAGACUCAAAGCGGCUUA